rnacentral:rRNA from 1 species
UACAGGGGGGGCAAGCGUUGUUCGGAAUUACUGGGCGUAAAGGGCUCGUAGGCGGCCAACUAAGUCCGACGUGAAAUCCCCAAGCUUAACUUGGGAAUUGCGCUCGAAACUACGUGGCUGGAGUGUGGCAGAGGAAGGUGGAAUUCCACGUGUAGCGGUGAAAUGCGCAGAUAUCGGGAGGAACACCAAUGGCGAAGGCAGCUCGCUGGGACGGUACUGACGCUGAGACGCGAAAGCGUGGGGAGCAAACAGG